rnacentral:rRNA from 1 species
AUUGAACGCUGGCGGCAGGCCUAACACAUGCAAGUCGAACGAGUGGCGGACGGGUGAGUAAUGUAUGGGGAACUGCCUGAUGGAGGGGGAUAACUACUGGAAACGGUAGCUAAUACCGCAUACCAUCGGAUGUGCCCACAUGGGAUUGGCUAGUAGGUGGGGUAAAGGCUCACCUAGGCGACGAUCCCUAGCUGGUCUGAGAGGAUGACCAGCCACACUGGAAAUGAGACACGGUCCAGACUCCCACGGGAGGCAGCAGUGGGGAAUAUUGCACAAGGGGCGCAAGCCUGAUGCAGCCAUGCCGCGUGGAUGAAGAAGGCCUUUGGGUUGUAAAGUACUUUCAGCGGGGAGGCGUUACCCGCAGAAGAAGCACCGGCUAACUCCGUGCCAGCAGCCGCGGUAAUAC